GACGAACGCUGGCGGCGUGCCUGAUACAUGCAAGUAGAACGCUGAAGAGAGGAGCUUGCUCUUCUUGGAUGAGUUGCGAACGGGUGAGUAACGCGUAGGUAACCUGCCUUGUAGCGGGGGAUAACUAUUGGAAACGAUAGCUAAUACCGCAUAACAAUGGAUGACACAUGUCAUUUAUUUGAAAGGGGCAAUUGCUCCACUACAAGAUGGACCUGCGUUGUAUUAGCUAGUAGGUGAGGUAAUGGCUCACCUAGGCGACGAUACAUAGCCGACCUGAGAGGGUGAUCGGCCACACUGGGACUGAGACACGGCCCAGACUCCUACGGGAGGCAGCAGUAGGGAAUCUUCGGCAAUGGGGGCAACCCUGACCGAGCAACGCCGCGUGAGUGAAGAAGGUUUUCGGAUCGUAAAGCUCUGUUGUAAGUCAAGAACGGGUGUGAGAGUGGAAAGUUCACACUGUGACGGUAGCUUACCAGAAAGGGACGGCUAACUACGUG
rnacentral:rRNA from 1 species